UGAGGAAUAUUGGUCAAUGGACGGGAGUCUGAACCAGCCAAGUAGCGUGCAGGAUGACGGCCCUAUGGGUUGUAAACUGCUUUUGUGCGGGGAUAAAGUGUGGGACGUGUCCCAUAUUGCAGGUACCGCAUGAAUAAGGACCGGCUAAUUCCGUGCCAGCAGCCGCGGUAAUACGGAAGGUCCGGGCGUUAUCCGGAUUUAUUGGGUUUAAAGGGAGCGUAGGCCGGAGAUUAAGCGUGUUGUGAAAUGCCGCGGCUCAACCGUGGCACUGCAGCGCGAACUGGUUUUCUUGAGUGCGCGCGACGCAGGCGGAAUUCGUGGUGUAGCGGUGAAAUGCUUAGAUAUCACGAGGAACCCCGAUUGCGAAGGCAGCUUGCGGGAGCGCAACUGACGCUGAAGCUCGAAGGUGCGGGUAUCGAACAGG
rnacentral:rRNA from 1 species